UCCACCUCGAGGAGGUCCCCAAAGCCAACCCAAUGGCCAAACAACACGAGAACAAGCAACGGCUGGGACGCAAAGGCACAGUUAAUUCGGCUUGGUUUUGCUCUCACCUCUUCGCUGAUUGCAGCUCACAGUAUCAACUUGGGCACAAUAGCACAGUUAGUUUGCUUUGAAUGGCUCUCACCUCUGGGCUGGACACAGCGUACUGUAAGUACAGGUUUCGCUCUAUUUCUCCUCGCGUUAUCCACUCUCUCUCCUUUUCUCUCCACAGGUAUCAACUUGGGCACAAUAGCACAGUUAGUUUGCUUUGAAUGGCUCUCACCUCUGGGCUGGACACAGCGUACUGUAAGUACAGGUUUCGCUCUAUUUCUCCUCGCGUUAUC